AUACAAAUUUGUGAUGCUUUAGGGGGCCUAUUGUUCGGCGGUUUAUAGGAGCCAGGUUUGUCUUUUGACGAACCUUUAACCUAUUUUUACUUCCAAAACCGUUACAAUGGCUUUCUUUUAUUAAAAUUUUUCUUUUCUUUUCUUUGGCUUAGUUUAUUUUUAAUAAGUUAUUUCAGGUGAAGAUAGAAGAAGGAUAAAGAGUAUCGUAGAUAAAUCUUCGGUUCCGAAUAGUCUAACUAUUGGUAUUGAGGUAAUCCAUCUUUAAAACCAUCGCCGUUAGAGGUUGCUUCUGAUGUUUUCGGUUAAGCGACCCAUGAAAUGGUGAUGACCUGAGGUAUGGAACAUCU
rnacentral:snoRNA from 23 species